AUGUGUAACAUACACGAAGUUGCGUGAGCUAAUUACCAUAAAAUAUUAUGUAGCAUAAUAAUAAUAUGAAUGGUAAUUAGGGGUGAUAGGCCUCUCAAGCGUAUGAUAUCUUGAUUCUUAUGAUAUGUAGUAGUACAAAGAUAAUUUAAGAGUUAUAAGGCUUUUAAAGGUAAUUAAGUUCAUUGUUAGUAAUUAGUUGGCUUAAACACCUACAUCUAUAUUAAUAUAAUAUUGAUGUUGAAUAAAUUAUUUAAAUUAAUAAGAUUCAAUUAAAUUUUAAAUUAUGAUAAUAAUGUUUUCAUAAGUAUUGAGAAGUUAUUAAUAGUGAACUCGGCAUUUUGCUUACAACUGUUUACCAAAAACAUAGCUGUGUGUAGUUACACACAGUAAUUUCUGCUCAAUGAGCUUUAAAUAGCCGCAGUACCCUGACUGUGCAAAGGUAGCGUAAUCAUUUGUCUUUUAAUUGGAGUCUCGUAUGAAAGAACAUAUGUGGGCAACCUUUACCAUUGAUAAUUCAAGAAAUUACUUAAUGGGUGCAAAAUCCCAUGAUAAAUAAAUAGACGAGAAGACCCUAGAAAUUUCUAAAAACGUUUUGUUGGGGCAACAUAGUAGCAAAUAAAUCUACUAUAUGUAUAUGACUUAUUAAAGAUAAAUUAAAUUACUCUAGGGAUAACAGCAUAAUCUAGAAAUGUUUGUGACCUCGAUGUUGGAUUAGGGAGUUGUUGUUAAAA
rnacentral:rRNA from 1 species